UACGGAGGGUGCAAGCGUUAUCCGGAUUUACUGGGCUUAAAGGGUGUGUAGGCGGGCGUUUUAGUCCGGGGUGAAAUCUCCGGGCUCAACCUGGAAACUGCCAUUGAUACUAUUAGUCUUGAAUUCUGUUGAGGUAGGCGGAAUAAGUCAUGUAGCGGUGAAAUGCAUAGAUAUGACUUAGAACACCAAUUGCGAAGGCAGCUUACUAAGCAGAUAUUGACGCUGAGGCACGAAAGCGUGGGGAUCAAACAGG
rnacentral:rRNA from 1 species